AACGAACGCUGGCGGCAUGCCUAACACAUGCAAGUCGAACGGUGCCUUCGGGCACAGUGGCGCACGGGUGAGUAACACGUGGGAACCUGCCUUUCGGUUCGGAAUAACGUUUGGAAACGAACGCUAACACCGGAUACGCCCUUCGGGGGAAAGUUUACGCCGAGAGAGGGGCCCGCGUCCGAUUAGGUAGUUGGUGGGGUAAAGGCCUACCAAGCCGACGAUCGGUAGCUGGUCUGAGAGGAUGAUCAGCCACACUGGGACUGAGACACGGCCCAGACUCCUACGGGAGGCAGCAGUGGGGAAUAUUGGACAAUGGGCGCAAGCCUGAUCCAGCAAUGCCGCGUGAGUGAUGAAGGCCUUAGGGUUGUAAAGCUCUUUCGCACGCGACGAUGAUGACGGUAGCGUGAGAAGAAGCCCCGGCUAACUUCGUGCCAGCCGCCGCCGUAACAC
rnacentral:rRNA from 1 species